GAAGCAAAGUCCUUAACAGUGUACUGUUUGCGGAUAGUCAGCAAAAGCGUGUAUGAACUCCAUCUUUUCAGGCUUACUGUACUGGAAACACGAUGGCGGUAAUGCGGUAUUUUCUUGUGUUAGCCGUUAUAAUCGGCAUUCUUAAUUGCGUCCGAAUGGAGAAUUCUAAGAAAACAAAUGCCGCUAGUUCUGGCCUAGAAUUACCCAAGAGGAAUUCUUCCGAUUCCGAUGCUGGUCCACCGAAGCUUAAAGUUAAGCCCCAACCGCAGCCUGGAAAUGGAACUGGUUCAGGUCAAAUCUGGACGUCCCGCGCCAAUCAGUGGCCACAUGGUUAAUGCGUUUUGGUGCAAAAAUCGUUAUCAGAAAGCCUCGUCUGCCGUUGCGGACCGUGCAGCGGAUGAGUCCUUAUAUAUGAUGUUUUCUGCAAAUGCUAAGUAGAGCUGCGCAUCUUUGCGAUCGUUUGCGCUAGUAAGUUUUCCGUUUUGCGAGUACAGUAGUUAUUUUUUUCGUUAUAAUGCUGGUAGCCAUGAACUGAUUAUUUCCUUCGCAGUUAAUAACGGCAUUAACUUUGCAGCCUCGCUGUUUUUUGUUCCAUGUUUCUGUGAUGUGUGAGCACCCGGCUUGCCCGUCUUGCGCGAAGUCGAAAAUAUUCGCAUCUUUUAACGAGAACUUGCUUACAGUUGACACAACAAAACUAUGCAAAUGUAGCAAACCGCA